AAAGCUUUAAGUUAAAAAAACUAUUAACCUUCAAAGUUAAAAUUACAGGUAUUUAAUGUAAGCUUUA
rnacentral:tRNA from 1 species